rnacentral:rRNA from 1 species
AUGAUACGACAAUCUCAAGAAGAAAGGGAAGGGGGAAUAGCAAGGCUGUUUCUGAGGGUGGUCGAGGCAUCACAUACCUCUGGUGUAGCCACCGUUGGCAAUAUUGGAUGGCUCGACAAACGUUCUGCUACCUCCGGCGAACUCGGUGCUUCCCUAACUAUUUUUCUUGGUUGGCUUGCAUUGCUUGUCUAUACUGUUAGAUCAGCAAGUGACGAAGCUCUAACUGCCAGGAAGGCUAUCCUUCCCUCUGGAAUUCACAACCGAGAUAUAAAUUGUGUGACUGCAUAUUAUGUUAUGAAUAAAAGAGAAAACACAUGA